CAUCGCAGUAAUCAGCCAAGAGAUAGAGGAGGAGGAGGAAGUCGCAGGACAGGAGCCAGGAGUCAAGAGCCAGCAGGCACUCCACAUGAAGGUGCCACAAGGAAGAGAUGACUACAGGAAAGGGAGAGAGGGGAAAAGGAGGAGUAAAGUAUACAGGCCUUGGGAGUGUACUUCUGAGGACCGCCUCAAGCUGAGUACCUUAAGGACCAGUGUGGGAGAAAGGGAGAGCAGAGAGGAACCCAAAUAUCACAGGAUGAUAACUGCUGGGGCAGGAAAUCACAGAGAAGAUGCCACCACCACUGGCUAACACAAAAACAAAAGCGGAAUUCCACACAGAGGUCAAAAGUCAUAACAACAGUUCUGUUGACCCGUAUGUUUGGGGUCAGCUCUCUCAUGACUUGCAUUCAUCUAUCCAUGCAUGCAUUCCACGAAAGAGAGGGGAAAACUAACUAUUCUUAUCAUAAUUGGUAGAUCU